rnacentral:rRNA from 1 species
UACGAAGGGUGCUAGCGUUGUUCGGAAUUACUGGGCGUAAAGCGCGCGUAGGCUGCUAUUCAAGUCAGGGGUGAAAUCCUGGGGCUCAACCCCAGAAUUGCCUUUGAAACUGUAUAGCUUGAGUGUCGGAGGGGAUAGCGGAAUUCCUAAUGUAGAGGUGAAAUUCGUAGAUAUUAGGAGGAACACCGGUGGCGAAGGCGGCUAUCUGGACGACAACUGACGCUGAGGCGCGAAAGCGCGGGGAUCAAACAGG